AUUGAACGCUGGCGGCAGGCUUAACACAUGCAAGUCGAACGAGUGGCGGACGGGUGAGUAAUGCUUGGGAAUCUAGCUUAUGGAGGGGGAUAACUACGGGAAACUGUAGCUAAUACCGCGUACCAUAGGAUGAGCCCCGGUGGGAUUCGGUAGUUGGUUAGGUAACGGCUCACCAAGCCGACGAUCUCUAGCUGGUCUGUGAGGAUGAACAGGCACACUGGAAAGGAAACACGGCCCGGACUCCUACGGGAGGCAGCAGUGGGGAAUAGUGCGCAAUGGAGGGAACGUAACGCAGCCAUGCCGAGUGGAUGAAGAAGGCCAUCGGGUUGUAAAGGUCUUUCGGUAGCGAAGCUUUAACUACAGAAGAAGCACCGGCUAACUCCGUGCCAGCAGCCGCGGUAAUUC
rnacentral:rRNA from 1 species